ACUAGUAGGUUGAAUCUUCUGAGGAACAAAAAGAAGGUAUUAUUUACUAGAAUAUUAAAAUAUUCUUAAAAAGUAGAGGGCUUUGCUUCAAAUUACCUGAACUGUCCUUGGCACUGACCUGUGUGUGACUCACCCUUUCCCUCCAGCACUGCUCCUCUCCUGGCUGGUGUGAAUGCACCUCUUCAGGUUAAAACGUGGCUUGAACUUGACCUGCUCAGAUUCCAGAAGAAGGCAAAGGAAUCCCAGGAGAGGAGGAGAUAAGCAUUUCCUAAAUCAGACUAACAGCACAUCUGCACUGUAAAAUCAGCUUGGGCUCAGAUUCCUUUUCCUACCUAGAAAGUGAUUUUCACCCAAAGCUGCUGGUGCUUAAGACCAUUUGAUCUGGCAUCAUGGCGAUAUGGGCACGCUCCGGGCUUUUGCUUUCCCUUGGACAGAAAACACACCCAUUUCGAAACAAACCUAAACCAUGGGUGGCACCUUUCUCUGCCUGCCUGCCAUCCGUCCUCCCUUCUCCCUCCCCACCUGCCUCUUUCCUUCACAUCUCUUCUAGAAGACUUUGAUGCAGAUCUUCCAUGCAAAAACCUGGGUGACACAUCCUUGGAAGCACUGGUGACCUGCAGGCCUGAACAUCCACACAAGGAUUUCUGCUUCUUUAACCAAACUUCUCCUGGACCAUGUGUGUGCUCACUUCCUACACUGCUGCAGAGAUGGGAAAUGGCUCAUCAGUGUGGGAAUGUUCCUUGGAUUGUCUUUCUCACUUCUACCUGAAAGAUGUGGAGAAAAUAAUUUUGGGUUCACAAUGGCGCCCUGCAAAACCUUUUCUCUGGGAAGACCUGGAGUGUCUCGAGUCAGCUGGGCACAGAUAACCAGCAGCAUUGUGAAGCCAAGUGAUUCUUCCCAUAAACAAAAAUGGUUUGCAGGAGCUUGAUUUGGGAAGACAUGACGGCACUGGGUACGUUGCAUUGCGAACUGUUCAGCUGUGUGUACUGAGGCGUUAAUGCAGAACUGCUAGGCAUUGGGCCCAGAAAAGAUGUGAUGAUGAGUGAGAGCAAAGAGGGAGGAAGGAGCAGAAGAAGAAAGCACGUUUUAGGCUUCUCAGUUCCUGCCUAGACAACCACUGCUUCCAAAACCCGGGCACCGUCCCCAAACGCCUCUUAUCAAGAGAAAGUAGGAAGCAACAUGAUCUGUGGACAAAACAAACAUAUUUGGUUUUUUUCAUUUGCCAAUCCUGCAAACAAUAGCUGUUUGUAGGCAAAUAAUCCUCAGGUCUGCAUCGCCAGAUCAAUGCAGGGAGUGGUUGCCAUCAGCUCCGAAGUGCCAGACACACUGAAUGGUUUGUAAGAAAACAGGCCCUUGAACUUCUUCACAGCACAGACUCUAUCUUAGUAAGUUAUCUCACACUUGCUUCUGUUCCUGCUCCCACUCUCGUCAUCUUCCAGUGCUUGGCCUGGUGGGGAGAAGUGAAAACUAGAGGAAAUAGACCUUGUUUUAAUAGAAAAGGCUUCAAAAUGUUCAGCUGUUUGUUAUUUCCUUGCCACUUACUUUUCCAAUUUACUUUUGGAGCCAGGCUAGCUAAAGGAAAGGCCAAACCUUGUGCACCGUUGCAGUUUAAUACCUAUGAUAUGCAUGAAGAAAAUUAAUUUGACUGAGGAUUUUGCUUCAUGAAGUAAUUACAGUGCAAAGCAUAAAAAGGCUGUGUUUUGUCUUGAGCUGCCAAAGUCCUGGUUUGUAUCAUGAGGUCAUGUUUAGGAUGACAAAUGUUUGCACAAACAGCAUCUUAUACUAUCUCACAUCGCCUUUCUCCACCUUUACUGACAGGAUUUUUGGAGAUGGAGAGGAACAGGAAAAUAAAUUUUUCUUCAGUCCCA